CUAUUAUGACAAUCCAAUAGGUUGAUCUACUUUACACUAUGGAAGAGGAAAGGCCAGUCGCUAAACCUGUAUAAGGAUCGGCUAUAAAACAAGGACAGUGCCCAGCUCAAAAUGGCUGAGAUUAUUUACCGUAUCUCCCAAGAAAUGUGAAUUACUCACUUUUUAAAGAAGGAUUGCUUCUUGGAUAAACUUCUCCAUCUCAAUCAAAGGCAUCUUUCUUUUCUUGAGGCAGAAAUGAAGUCACCAGAAGCAUCAAGGGCUCUUGAUUUUAAUGGAGCCAAAUAAUACAAAGAUCCAAGCCCUUAUCUAGU
rnacentral:lncRNA from 1 species